rnacentral:rRNA from 1 species
CCCUUAGAUGUUCUGGGCCGCACACGCGCUACACUGAAGGAGGCAGCGUGUACUCCUGGAUCGAAAGAUUUGGGUAACCCGCGAAUCUCCUUCGUGCUAGGGAUUGAGGUUUGCAAUUAUCCUUCAUGAACGAGGAAUUCCCAGUAAGUGCAAGUCAUAAGCUUGCGCUGACUACGUCCCUGCCCUUUGUACACACCGCCCGUCGCUACUACCGAUUGAAUGAUUUAGUGAGGACUUCGGACUGGGACCGAUGCGGCUUUCGGGCUGCGUCGGUAUUCUGGAAAGAUGUCCAAACUGUAUCAUUUAGAGGAUGUAAAAGUCGUAACA